UACCAGCACCCCGAGUGGUCGGGACGAUUAUUGGGCCUAAAGCAUCCGUAGCCGGUUUUACAAGUCCUCCGUUAAAUCCAGCUGCUUAACGGAUGGGCUGCGGAGGAUACUAUAAGACUAGGAGGCAGGAGAGGCAAGCGGUACUCAGUGGGUAGGGGUAAAAUCCGUUGAUCCAUUGAAGACCACCAGUGGCGAAGGCGGCUUGCCAGAAUGCGCUCGACGGUGAGGGAUGAAAGCUGGGGGAGCAAACCGG
rnacentral:rRNA from 1 species